GUCUUUGCUUUGGUGGGGCAUAUACUAAAAUUGGAACAAUACCAAGUAGAUUAGCAUGGUCCCUGCAGAAGGAUGACACACAAAUUUGUGAAGCAUUCCACAUUAAA
ensembl:snRNA U6 U6 spliceosomal RNA